rnacentral:lncRNA from 1 species
GGAGCACUGGGGAGUAAUGAGAGUACCCAGAGCAUCAGGAGCACUGAUUGUACCAGGGUCACCAGGAGCACUGGGAGCACCGGGGGUGCCGUGAGCACCCUCAGCACCUCAUGCGUGGCACCUCCUGUGCGUGAUGGCUGUUGGCUAACCAGAGCUGGUGGAGGCAGCUUAAGUCUGUUUGACUGUCCCUGUCAUCAUAAGGUUUACGGAUGGUUAAUUUAUUCUUUAUAGCACAGUCAUUGAUGGCUGUUAAAUCACAAAUGAGAGCCAAUAAAGGGUGAAUUGCAGCUGAAAUUACACUGUUUAUAUGACAGCAGAGUGCUGGCUAAAAGAUUCAUAUGCCGCUGAUGAAGUACGUUAUAAAUUUUAAUUACCAUAGUUUGUACAAAUGACAUGUUUGAAAUGCUAUUGAGUAAUGUGACCCUGAUAAUGAAACUAUAAAAUAAAUCAUUAACUUUCUGAAUGAGCUUUUUUAUUUCCAUGCUACAUGAAGUAAACUUUCCAAUUUAUUCCAUUGCAGCCCUCUUUCAAAAAAAUUAAAAGAAAGUGGAGACAGAAGUGUCACCAUCCAGCAGCAGGGGAUGUGGACAUCUGGGGGAGGAGAGCAUCAUGCAGAAGCUUCUCCUCUAGGGGCUGCUCAGUGAGGCCCUGGCAGGUACAGAACUAUGAGGGACCCGUCAGCGCGGAGCCAACAGGGGCACCCUGUGCACCCCAGGAGCAGAGGCAGAAGAGCAGAGAGACAACAGCUGCACCAAGCCAGAACCCCACUAAAUAGUCCUUAAGCCUUAAUGAGAUCCAUAAGAU